GAGCGGCGGGCCUUGACCUUCGGGAAAAAAAAACUCACGGACGGUGACAGCGAAACGGAUAACAGUCUUCAGUACCUGCUGGACUUUGAAGCUGUGGAUUCUGGGACUGUUAGAAAAGCUCCAACAAAAUGAGGAAGAGGAGGGGGAGAAACACAAUUAGGUUGAAUUACAAUUGGAUGGAAGGCGAGGACAAGGAGAAGGAAGCUUAGGAUGAGGAGGAAGAGAAGCAGCAGGAGCAUCUUUAGGGAUCCCUAUGAUGUCAUUGAGAGGCAGCGGCGAGAGGGGAGACCUCGGCUCAUCCAGCUGGAGAGCCUGACCAGGAGGAGUCGAACAUUAACUGAGCUCUUCCAGGGCACCCUGCAGACUCGGCUGCUGGCAUCGGCGAGCGAUGACGUGAACGCCAAACUGGAGUCCAUCACAGGUCAACUGCAGCUCCUUGUCUCAGAGUGGGAGGGAUUUGAAGCACAAAGGGAGGAACUUGUCAUUUGGUUGGCUGAUAUGGAUGUGAGGUUGACCAGCUGACAGGAAACACCAGUGAAAAACUGAAACAACUGCAGGUGUGGGCUUGUUUUGAUAUGACAUAUACAGGGAGUGCAGAAUUAUUAGGCAAGUUGUAUUUUUGAGGAAUAAUUUUAUUAUUGAACAACAACCAUGUUCUCAAUGAACCCAAAAAACUCAUUAAUAUCAAAGCUGA
ensembl:lncRNA